CUACGGGCGGCAGCAGUGGGGAAUAUUGUACAAUGGGCGCAAGCCUGAUGCAGCCAUGCCGCGUGUAUGAAGAAGGCCUUCGGGUUGUAAAGUACUUUCAGCGGGGAGGAAGGGAGUAAAGUUAAUACCUUUGCUCAUUGACGUUACCCGCAGAAGAAGCACCGGCUAACUCCGUGCCAGCAGCCGCGGUAAUACGGAGGGUGCAAGCGUUAAUCGGAAUUACUGGGCGUAAAGCGCACGCAGGCGGUUUGUUAAGUCAGAUGUGAAAUCCCCGGGCUCAACCUGGGAACUGCAUCUGAUACUGGCAAGCUUGAGUCUCGUAGAGGGGGGUAGAAUUCCAGGUGUAGCGGAGAAAUGCGUAGAGAUCUGGAGGAAUACCGGUGGCGAAGGCGGCCCCCUGGACGAAGACUGACGCUCAGGUGCGAAAGCGUGGGGAGCAAACAGGAUUAGAUACCCGCGUAGUC
rnacentral:rRNA from 1 species